rnacentral:lncRNA from 1 species
CAAGCGACUUUCUUGUGCCCUGCAGCUCGAUGAAGCGCCCUGUUUCAGAGUGUUUUUGGUAAACCANCUUCACUAUCUUCCUGGACAUUAUGGAAAUUCUAGAGAAACUACAGCAACCAAAAAGGGCUUUUGUUCUAGUUUCCUGCAGCCUUCAUGUGACACAAGGAAAUUUCAAGUCCAUAUGCACAAAAUAAAUCAUAAUGCCGUUAUCAUUUCGUCUCCAGUAGCACCUCUUGAUGCCAUUCAGCAAAAGCUGAAACAAGAAGGUUUUAAUGAGAGCAGAAUGGGAGAGGAACCAAGAACUCCAUCAUCUGCAAGUGAAGACCUUCUGGAUGGAUGGCCAGUGAUAGAAGAAACCCAUUCUGUGGAGCUGUAAGCAGCAAUGGAGUGAAGCUAGAUCUUCUCAACCUCUUUCCCCAAAAUAAAGCUUAAAUAUGUUCCA